AUAAUGUAUACCUAUACCUAUACUCUUCUUCUCCAUCGACAGAAGCACUCCCACACUUAGAAAAAAAAACCUAAACUCCAAUCUAUGCCGCUUAAGAAACACUCAGAUCUCUUCCUCUUCAAACUGGCGCAGAUCUCCUCCUCUUCGAAGUAGCUUCGAUCUCUUCCUCCGCAACUCGCCAUGCCUCUCUCGACGGACAGCCGGACCACCAUCGAUGUUUAUGUGGUAAGGUUUAAGAUCGUGUAUUCAUAAUCAAUAUGGAGAUCCGUUUGAACUCGUGAAUUUCAAGGUGUUAAACUCUUAAUCUUCAUAACUUCUCUCUUUUAGAGUAUUCGUUUUGGCUGCUCUUUGGAUCUGAAUUGGAUCUUAACGAGUUCAAACCACUUUUAAAUGUUGAAUAAAAGUCUGGAAUCAUAAAGGCAAUGAGAAGCUAAGAUGAGAAAGGGAGAAUACUAAAGAAAGUAGCAGCAUGUCGAGUUCUAUUCGUCGUAGAGGAAUCAGUAGAGCAAAUCGAGCUAUAUGAGGAUUCACGCCACUUCCUAACACCGUUUGUUUCGUCGUUGAAGACCAGAGACAGACCGAGGUCAUGAGACACGCCGGGGAGGCUUGAUGGAAGAAGCAUUGCAAGCAACGGCGGCGGGGGAUCGUUGGCAAACGGAAUCUCGUUGCGGCGGCUGAGGGCAUUGUUACGUGAUUAGGGUUUUUUUUCUUAAUUUUUGCAUCCGGUUUAAUUUUGUAAUUGGUUCAAUUUUUAACUCUUAACCAAUUCCAAAUUUGGGUGGUUUAUUAAUAUCAAUAUAUAUUAAUUAAACAAAUUCUCUCACUAAAUCUAAAAUAUAUAUAUUAAUUAAAAAAAUUCUGUCACUAAAUUAAAAAAUAUAUUUAUUAUUUUUAAUUACAUUUUGUUUGAUAUGUGUACAUUUUUUUAUUAUCUGUCGCUAAAAAGUCUCUAUCUACCACUAUAAUUAAGGUCAGAACUUGGUCUCUAAUAUACAAACAUAUUAUAAGGUCAUAAAAUCGACGUAAAUGUGUGACUAUUUUGAGACGACUUAAUUUAGCGACUAACAAAAAUAGUCAUAAAGUAGUCGCAAAGUAGGUAUUUGCGACCGUUCUGUGACCUUUUUGGGAGUCGAAAAUGACUUGUUUUCUUGUAGUGUACUACAUAAUUAGUAGCAAACGUCAAUCGCUACUUUGUCGCUAUGUAGUCGCCAAACCUUACGAUUGAUGUACGACCGGUUAACAACUGAUAGCAAACUGUCGUAGAUCAGUCGUAAAUCAGUAGUAAUUUUGCGACUAAUAUGUUUUAUGACUAGACCUUUAGUGACAUCACAUAUUGGUCAUUAAUCGAUCUUAAAACUAAAAAUCAGUAGCAAUUUUGCGACUGAUAUGUUUUACGACUAGACCUUUAGCUACAUCACAUAUUGGUCACUAUGUUUUACGACUAAUUGCCUACUCAUUUUAGAGUAGCUAAAAACUCGUUUCGGUGUAUAGGUAUUUGGAUUUUAGUUCUGAAAUUUUAAUAAAAGUAGUUGUACAAGAGCAAUGUUAAACAAAUUAGCAGAUGAUUUAUGAUUGGUUCGUCUAUAAAUUUUCCAGGAGUAGAUUGAUUCAUAAAAAAAUGAAAACAUGCAUGACAGAUAUAAGAAGCAUUGUUAUCUCCAAUUGGCUCAACAUGCAUAUGUUGCAGAACUGAUAUAAUUUUACCAGAGCUAGAAAAAGUAACAUUGAACUAUGGCUUUGUUAGCUCUUACGUUUCCAUUACUACCAAAGUAAAGUAAAUAUAAAAUAACAUAAAAUAGGUAGGAAAUAUCUGAUUUACGUGUUUAAAUGGCUUUGUUCGAGUUCUCUCUCAUUAAUUACAAAAUUUGCAAUUAUUACCUAUCUUCGUCAGUAUUUACUUCACAGUAUAAGAGAAUACGUUAUUAACUUUCUGAUAAGUGACUAGUGCGCUUACUGUUUCGAUUAAAAGUCUUGAGAGAACUUUAGAGUUAACCUGUUGGAGUAUUCAAUGGAUGGGUGACCUUAAAAAAAGUGGUUAUGAACUGUAUGAUUGAGGUUAAAACACAUGAAAAAAUCAUGUGGUGAUUUGUAAGAUCAGUAAACAAGUCUUUCAACCUCCCGGACAUAAGCCAACCGACCGUCGGAUAUUGAUGGGCCUAGUGAAAAAAUGUGAGGCUCAUUAAAAGAGAUGGGCCCGUGAGCUGGUAAUGAACAUAGGAUCCACUGAAGAAAUGGCGGUCGGAGCAUUACAAUUUUUAAAUUCACUUUUUACAGAAAUUGAUUUUACAAUAAAUUACAAUAUUUUUCAAUUAAUUUCUUAUUAUGGAUUAACAUGUCGUCGCAAAAAUUUCAAUAUAAUAUAUAUCUUCUAUAAUAUUUUUGCAGCAGUAUUUAAAAAAAAUCUUAGGAGUUUCAACAUAUUUACAUUGCUAUGCUACUGACAUUAAUUUCUCCUAUUAAUUUGGAAAAUUAAAUUGAAAAUAUCAAAACCACGUUUAAUCAAAUCACUAAAGCGUUCUAUUAUUACACUCUCCUAAAAUCUCUCUAAACUCUACUAAAUCCAAAAAUUUCAAUAUGCAUUUACCUCAUGUCCGUGUCAAAGAAAACUAACGUUACGUAAUGAUAUUUCAAAAUUUUCUAAUGCACCAAUGGACUCAAAGAUACUAUGGCCUUGAUUGGCUAUGGCUGUAACUUUUGAUUUUUAACUGUAGAUUUCAAGCUAUAGAUUAUUUUGCUGUACCGGUAAAUUUUUUUACUGUAGAUUAUUGGCUGUAUAAAUUAAAAUUUUGGAAAGAUGAAAAUUAUGUGCUUUAAAAGAAAGUGAUUGCUUUGAAUUUAGUGUUGUAGACCAAAAUUUGGCUGUGGAAAGAUUUUAAAGUCACAACGAAUUAAUCAAAGCCUAUAUAACGCAAAGGGUUAAAAGUGUAGCUCAAAUUCAGGGUUCAUUGAAUACAUGUUUAGACAAUAUGUAUAUAAAAUACUCUAGUGUAGAUUAAUAAAUGUGUAGAUUAGUUCUGGUUCCAGUAAAUUCAACAUUAAACCAUUACUUAAUUCCUUACUACAGUAUUUGAUUUAAAAGCUGUAAAAAUGUUUAUUUUACUGGUUAGAUUUAAUGUUAUAAUUAAAAUAAAUGAAGAGUUAUAACAACGAUCAAAUGCAGAUCUUGCAUGAAAAUAACACACAUUAAUCAGUUUACUUAAUGAUACUUAGUUCUGUUAUUUUUAGUGUGUGUUUUUUUCCAUUACUCUUGACUCCAUUUAAAAUUGGUCUAGGGAAAAACAAAAUUCAAAAAUUUCCAAACACACAAAAGAAUGAAGUUUUAUAUCUAUAGAGAGCCACAAAUAAUAUUUAAAUUCAUGAGAAUCUCGCUUUUGCUUGUAAUAAAAUAAUAUUCUCGUUGUAAGAGAUAACUUGCAUUUGAGUAUGAUUAUGAAAUUAUCAAGUUGCACCAGUCAUUCUCCACUAAACAUUCGUUGACCUAUGACCUAAACAAAACACUUUUAUAUAUCUUUCAAAAUAAUUGGUCGGCUGCUUUAUUUUUGUAUUGACAAAAACCUAUUAAAAAUGUGAAGUUAAGUAUCAAAAUGCCCGAAACAAGUGAAAAUACUUUACCCAUUUAAUCUUUUGUUAAAACUAUUUUUGUAUUAGUAAAAUCUUAUAAUAUAGUUCCGUGUUAUUGAGUAGUAAUAUGAGAAAUUAAAUUAGGUAUAUAAUGCUAAUAUAUUAUAUAGUAUCAAAAUGUUUUGCUUGUUCAUGCACAUGUGAAUAUCUUAGAUUUCACGGCGUUUACUAUUUGAGUUUUGACAGUCUCUAGUGUUCAUACUCUUAUUUUUACUUCACUAAAUAGUAUAACUCCAACAAUUAUAAAGUCUCAAAUAUUAUACAGAAAAUAUUUAUGGAUUGUUCUUCCCUAUAAGAAAUUAGAACAACACACUAAAUUUAAAUAAAAUCUACUUAUUUAAAAAAAAAAAAGAAGAACAAAUGAGAGAUAGGUUUUGUUGUUAGUUGGAACUACUAGCUAGUAGUAGUACUGAAGUAGAUAUAAACUUAACAAACUAAAAGGCAAACGAAUAAAUAAUAAACUAAAACGAAUAAAACAAUAAUACAAUUGUAGUCGUCGGUAUUUGAUCACAUCAUGGUUUUUGUAUAAUUAAUUAAUCCAGAUUUACAAAAUUAGCUAAAUCCCAAAAUAGUUUCACCGAAUGUUUUACAUGAAAAAGGCCAAAGCCUAUUAUUAUCAUCUUUAGUUGUUUAUAAACUCUAGCCUCUCUAUUAAAAAUGUGUAGCUAUUUGAUCAAAAACACAUAUAUGAUUGCUUAUGUAAGGGUAAAUAUUGUAUGGACUUGUAUCAAUGUUUUUGUAUAACCUUUUUAAGGUAUAGUAAACUAUUUAUGCAUUAUUCAUGCUAACUAAAUUUUUUCCUCGUACACAUAAGUAUAUUAUUUUAUACAGAAUUACACUAAUAUUUGAAAUACAUAUAUUACAUUAAUAAUUUGUGAAGUUUCCUACAUUGUUGGCAUCGACUCAUUGUUGACUCAUCACGAUGAAAUAAAUUUGGCAGCUCAUGGGGCUGUCUUUUUCAUUUUACUUAAACCUUUGGCAUGUGGGUUUUGAAAGGACUCAACUUGCUUUUUGUCAAAAAGGACUCAACUUGUUGCAUUCACUGAUUAGUAUUCUAUAAAAAGUACCUAUUAUAAAUUCAUCAAAGACCCCACGAAAAUAUCACACAACAUGAGAUAUAGAAUUACAAAUUAGUUAGAAAUGGCUGGCAAAAAAUAUGAAUUAAAAACCUAGCUGUUAAUUUUAAUGUGGACAGUGCUAGGAUCAAUUUUGUGUGGUAGGUUUUCUAGAUUUGUGUUUUUCUAUUUAUGUACAUAUGACAUAUUUGUUAUAGAUGUGUACAAUUUGUUUUUGGUUCUGUUUUUAAACCUCUAUUGACGGACGAGGUGAAAGCUUAAGGAGAAUCAUAAUGAUUAGGUGAAUAUGACACAAAACGAUUAACUUAACUAGGAAAAAAAAGUUAGAUGAUCAUUAUAUACAUUAUCAGCAUUUUAGUGAAAGAUAGAAAUAAAUGUACGAGUGGUAGUAUAUAAUAAUUUUAAAGACACUAAUUUUACAUACACUUAUAUUUGUAUAUUGUGAUUUUGAGGUUUAUAGUAUGCUUUUUUUAGCAUAAGUAGCAAGAGUAAUGCAGUACUAUUAUCUUAAUUAUUCGUGGGAGAUCUAUUUUUAUUUAUAUUUCAUCUAGUUUAUUGCGUAUUUUGGAUGAAAUAGUAAACAUUUUCGUAUGAAUUUGGAUGAAAUGAAAUGAAUUUGUAAAACAAAAAUAUUUUAGUAACAGACUAAGGAAAACAUCAUUUUGUGCUAGAGUUCUCUUUUAUUAAUGAACAUCAUUUUUAUUGUAUUUUACGUGUUAUUGUGAAUUUUUGUAUGAAUUUGGAUGAAAAACAAAAUUGAGAGAAAAUAUCCUUUUUUCUAAAGUUAUCAUUGCAGACAUGAGAAUUUUGGGUUGGAUUACUCGACCGUACAUCUAUCUCACAUAUAUGAUAUGACUCUUUUUGGAGUAUAAGUAAUAUUUAUUCAAUUAUUUGCGAUACGAGUUCAAUUAUUGGUUGAGAAAUCAUUGCUGUUCAUUUUCUUUUCGUCGAAAAAAUCGUGUGUUUUUCAAUUAUCUUACGUUUAGGAGAAAGCUUUCCAUCAUUUUUUUUAUAGAAAAAUAUUUACAUACAUAUAUAUAUUUUUAAAAGUAUUUCAAUUCGUCAUUGUUGACUAAAAAAGUUUUUAAAACUAUUUCAAUUAUGUUUUGCUUUGGUUUUUUUGUUUUGAGGGUCAAAAAUUUUAAUAAGAAAAUGCUUGGUGUGUUAAUGUUGUAAUCAUAUUUUAAGUUUAUAUAAAUUUCUGCACACUAAAAUGUCAAUAAAAUAAUUAAACAAUCAUUUAUUUAUAUAUUUUUAUUUUUACCAUGUCAAUGAGAAAAAAAAAACUACAUCCUCCAUUUCAUAUGAAAUACUAGUUUAAAACUUAAAACUAGUUCAGAAGAAAAGGUUUUUAAGGUUACAAUACAAAAGGUUUUUAAAACUUCUAGUUUUACUUUUAUCGCUAUUAUUUAAUUGUAUUGAUCAGUAAAAAAUUUAGAAAAAGUAGUAUAAUAUUAUAUAAGAGUAAACUAGAAAAAUUAAAUUAUUUUUUUAUUUGUGUCUAAAAACUUUAAGCAACACUAAUAUAAGGACUAUAUAUUCCUAAAAUUAUAUUAUUUACUUAAUUAACCAUUAAAUUAACUCAUUUUUAUUGUACUUAGUCAUUGUUUUUCCAACCCAUACCACUUGUGUGAGACUCUUAACGAAGUAGUGAUGAAAGAGUGAAGACGAACCAACCAAAGCUUCUAAAGAUAAGUUACAAAAUUAUAUAAUUUUUUAAAAAGAUACGUUACAAAAUAAAUAUAUAUGAGAGUUGAAUUUGAUGUCGCACCUUUUCGAAAAAAAUACAUAAAUUUAGAGAAUCUUUUGGAAAAAAGCAGAUCUUUACAACAACAACAAAUAAUUAAAAAUACGAAUUGGGACCAUUUCGUACUCUCAAAAAGGUAAUGGUUGCUACCAAAGUUUUAGAAAAAAUAAAAUAAGUUUUGUAUUUUUAUUUAAUUGUUUUGAUGUGAUUUGAGCCGUUAAAUUGAGAGAGAGAAGGUGAAGAGGUCACGUGAGGAAGUAAAGAGGUUAGGUGGGUACAUAUGACACGACAGUUUCCAGCUGUAGCCGCCAUUUUUAUUGGUCCAACCCAACUUCGCAUGCAAUAUUCAUUUUUUUAAAAAAAAUUCUUUGAAAAUAGUAACAUUUAUUUGGAUUGUAACAUGUUUAAACAUAUGUUUUUACAUUUAUGAGAUGCAAAAUUAAGUUAAACAUAUUUAUUAAAAUCUUUAAAUCAUUUUUUAUAUUUUUUUCUUUUUUUUUAUAUGAGUUUAGACGAGAACCAAUUUAUUAUCAAAAUAUAUAAUAAUUUAUAAAAAAUGACUGUUUAAGCUGUUUGGAAGUAAUAUUUUUAAUUUAGUUACUAAAUAUGAGAUCAGUAGGAAUAUAAAUUAUGAUUCUUAUAUUUUACUAUCAUUUUAAAAAAAUGAUAUAGAUUAUUUAUUUAUUUAUGUCCGCAUUCUUUUUGUAAUUGUUAUGAUUAUGUUCAACGACGGAAAAUUAAACAUCAAAAAUAACAUAAAAAAUGGAUGAGAAAUAUUAAAGUGUCGAUGUGACUAUUUUUUUGAGGUAAUGCUCAUAUCGUCGGUAUUAAAAACGAUGAUCGUUAUUUUAGUUGCUGCGGCUAUUUUCAUAAGAACAACGAUAUUAAUCUUUACAUGUAAAGAAGUUAUAAUUUGGAGUCACUAAUUGAUGUUGCAAAUUUGAAGUGGUUAAAAGAAAUAUGGUUUAUAUUAUAAAUUUGAAUAUUUUGUUAAUUUUUUAAAAUUUAUUACAUGUACUGUUAAUUUUAGUUUACAAAGUAAAAGAUCAAUAAAAAAAGAAAUUAUUAAAAUUUCAUAUACUGAAUUUACUACUACCUUUCAUAAAUAGAAGAAAAAUAUAGGCGAAUCUAAAUAGAGAUUAUGAUGUAGUAAACAAUUUUUUCUUAAAUUUAUAAACUCUAAAAUCUAUUUAUAAACAUCUAUUUACUUUUUUGUGUUUACGGUCGGAAUCUUUAGGUUGAUUAAUUCAAACUUAAUAAGUCAUUAAAGAUUCCGGAGAUUCCAAUUUAGAAAAGUCAAAGAUUCAAAGAACAAGUCCAGGUCCACAUGUUGAAUCCUAUUCAUCAUCCACUCAUCCUUCAUAUCUUCCUCCACCGUCUCCGCCCAAAUUAAUUAAUUUGUUUUUCAAUUUUAAGUUUAUCAAUUAAAAUAGUUAUCUGAUGACUCAGGACCUUGCUGUCUCUGACGAAGUUAAAUUAUUUAUAUUUUUUUUGAAAUUUGUUUCUCUCAGAAAAUUACGGCACAAUCUUGCUUACCCUUUUCAGAAAAACAGCUAAUAUUUGUGGACCUAAAUUAAAUAACGUAGCCUCUAGAUUUUUCUAUAAUUGUAUUCUAUUACUUGUAGGAAAUAUUAUAUAGUUGUACUAAUUAUUCUUUAUUAACUACACUUGUUAAGCCAAUCAAGUAAAACUUAACUGUGAUGGAAAAAGUUAGAAUUUAAAGUCCAAAUGGUUGCAGUUGUUAAACCGGACAAUAUUAUCUGCGGAUUAAACCGUUUUAUUUAUUAUUCAUCAAUUGUAUGUUGUAGUAGUACUGAUUUGAAAUAUUUAAAACCAACCAUAAAUUACUUAUAUAUCAUUUUUACUUACAAAUAAAAUAUGGCUGAUUUUACCUUAAAUAUAGAACGGACUAAAACAUUGACGGAUUUAUCUAUUUUGCCAAUUAUGAUUAUAAAUUUCAAAUUUUUAUUUAAUUACAAUUCUAUUAUGAUUAUAAAAAAAUUAAUACCAAAUAGUGGUAUUUUAAGAUUAUGGUAUUUUAAGAUUCACCUUUGAAUUGAAAUGAAUGUUAAAAGUUAUUUACUUUCUUUACAAAGAUUCGUUUGUAAUUAUAGAAUUUUUUCUUUUGUCACUAUUUUUUUUAUUUUUUAGAUUAUUAUAUCUGAAACAAUCCGAUAAAGAAUUGUACACAUGGGCAUCUAUAUAUAUCGUACAGGUAAAACGUGUAUGUAUAUGCAUAAGGAUUUACGUUCUUCUAUAAAUAUAUGUGGUAGUAACAUUGGAGGAGGAGAAACAAAAAAAAAAAUCACACAACCAAAGCUUUGAGAGAACACAAAAAAAAAAAAAGAGAAGAGACAUAAAAAAAAGAGAGAAGAGAAAAAAUAAAAUUUGAUUUUUCGUUUUAAAACCAAAAUCUCUGAAUUAUAUGGCAACCCGUCUCCUCCGAACAAACUUUAUCCGGCGAUCUUACCGUUUACCCGCUUUUAGCCCGGUGGGUCCUCCCACCGUGACUGCUUCCACCGCCGUCGUCCCGGAGAUUCUCUCCUUUGGACAACAAGCACCGGAACCACCUCUCCACCACCCAAAACCCACCGAGCAAUCUCACGAUGGCCUCGAUCUCUCCGAUCAAGCCCGUCUUUUCUCCUCUGUCCCAACCUCUGAUCUCCUCCGUUCCACCGCCGUCUUGCAUGCGGCGGCGAUAGGUCCUAUGGUCGAUCUAGGAACGUGGGUCAUGAGCUCUAAGCUUAUGGACGCUGCCGUUACACGUGGCAUGGUCCUAGGGCUCGUGAAAGGUACGUUUUAUGACCACUUUUGCGCCGGUGAAGACGCUGACGCAGCCGCUGAACGCGUUAGAAGCGUUUAUAACGCUACUGGUCUUAAAGGUAUGCUUGUCUAUGGCGUUGAACAUGCCAAUGACGCUGCAUCUUGUGAUGAUAACAUGCAACAAUUCAUUCGUACCAUUGAAGCUGCUAAAUCUUUACCUACUUCUCACGUAAGCCUUCUCCUCUGUUUUUUUCUCUUCUUUGCUCUGUUUUUGUUAAAUCGUAUCUUAACAACCAAAAUAAAAUAUCUUUUAUUUAAUUAUAUCGUAAAUCAUUUUUUGCGUUAAUACAAAACAUAAUUAUAAAAUUCGGGCAACUUGUUUUGUUUUGUUUUGUCUUGUGUUCUGUUUGUUGUGUUCGAUAGCCAAAUCUCCGUACUCUGACAAAAGUACACUUGCAUAGAUAUGUAAUGUACAUGUAUAUUAAAUUUGUUACGCGUUUUUAUUUAGGAAAAAAGUACAUAAACACAACUUGCAUGUUCUUUUUUUUUCUAAUGAAAAUGAUUUUGCGUCUUAAUUUAUAUAUAUUAUGAAAUUUUAUUAAGGCGGUGAUAAAAUCAAAGGUUAAGCGUCAUUAUCGGAUUAGAUUUAUACGCACGAGGUCCUUAGUUGGAGAUAUGACCUUAUAGGUGAACUAGAACUUUCUGGAGAUAACACUUUUUAGGAAUAUUCUCCGGUUAUUAAAAUCCCGGUUUAAUGUUGUGAUUCCGGUUUAUAUAUUAUGUUUGGUUUUUUGAAUAACCGGUUGUUUGUUUUUUUUGUCUUAACAGUUUAGCUCAGUGGUGGUGAAGAUAACAGCUAUAUGUCCAAUUAGUCUUCUGAAACGAGUGAGCGAUUUGCUUCGAUGGGAGUACAAAAGUACAGGUUUUAAACUCUCUUGGAAGCUUAAAUCGUUCCCGGUUUUCUCCGAUUCGAGUCCUCUCUACCAUACAAACUCUGAACCGGAGCCUUUAACCGCAGAAGAAGAAAAAGAGCUCGAAGCAGCCCACAGAAGGAUCCAAGAAAUAUGUAGGAAAUGCCAAGAGUCCAAUGUACCUUUACUGGUCGAUGCGGAAGACACAAUCCUCCAACCCGCGAUCGAUUACAUGGCUUAUUCGUCGGCGAUCAUGUUCAAUGCGGACAAAGACCGACCGAUUGUUUACAACACGAUUCAGGCGUACUUAAGAGACGCUGGUGAGAGACUGCAUUUGGCUGUACAAAAUGCUGAGAAAGAGAGUGUUCCUAUGGGGUUCAAGUUGGUGAGAGGUGCUUACAUGUCUAGCGAAGCUAGAUUGGCAGAUUCCUUGGGUUGUAAGUCACCGGUCCAUGACACAAUUCAGGACACACACUCUUGCUACAACGACUGUAUGACCUUCUUGAUGGAGAAAGCCUCGAACGGAUCAGGAUUCGGCGUCGUUCUUGCAACACAUAACGCUGAUUCGGGUAAGCCAUUGAAUCACAUUGUGUUGUUUAAUCACUUCAGUUAAUGUCAAAUGUGGGUUUACUAAUUGUAGAAAUGGUUUAAUUUCAGGGAGACUUGCAUCGAGGAAGGCGAGUGACCUCGGGAUCGAUAAACAGAACGGGAAGAUAGAGUUUGCACAGCUAUAUGGAAUGUCAGAUGCAUUGUCCUUUGGUUUAAAGAGAGCUGGGUUCAAUGUUAGCAAGUACAUGCCGUUUGGACCAGUCGAAACCGCGAUCCCGUAUCUUCUCCGACGUGCUUACGAAAACCGGGGAAUGAUGGCAACUGGAGCGCAUGACCGCCAACUCAUGAGGUAUAUUUAACCCUCAUGUUUAGUCCUUUCACAGUUUGGUUCAUCUAAUUUUUGCUUAAGUAUACUAAUGUUGGUGUUGGUAAUUGCAGAAUGGAACUUAAGAGGAGGUUACUCGCCGGAAUUGCAUAAAGAGAAGAGUUUAACUGUCAAUUAUAUAUAUGUACGGAUCCAUUAAAAUGGAAUUGAGAAAUGUAGAUGAAUAAAUUUCUUCUAUGUGUAGAUUAAGAUAUUGCCAAAAAAAAAAAAAUUAUAAUAUAAGAAAUGGAGGUAGGAAAGAACAUAUCAUGUGGCUUUAUCACAAUGGACUAUAUCUUUAUUUCAAUAUUUCAUUCACCAAUGUAUAUUCAUCCUUCCUUAUCAAUAAUAAUGAAAGUAUCCCUUUUAUUUUACUUAACUCUGGUAAUUUCUUUUUGCCGUGAAUCAAAAUAUUUUCCGGGCGUUUCCGAUCCAAAGUGAAUUCGGAGUUUCACCGACGAUACCAUAGUAAGGAAAAAUAUAUUUUCACUAGUUACUAAUCCGUGCUACAGCCCGGGCUCAAAGAUUAUGAAAGUAUAGUAUUAAUAGUUUGAAAUAUAUUAUUCCAUCAUUUCAAUAUAUUGAAUUAAGUUUGGGUUAAUACCACAGUGCAGUUCGUGUAAAGUACAAACUUACUUAUCUAUAUGUAUCAUUUGGUUUCAUCUACAGUAGUAUCACGUUUAUUACAGAGCAGUCGGUGUAUACUGUUUAUGUUUAACUAAAUUCCAUAUAUCCUUAAGUGUUAAUUAAAAAUGGUUAUGUUCUGUUGAUGACAAAAAAAAAAAAUGGUUAUUAUAUAUAUAACCAAAACCAUAAUAGUUACUUACUAAAAUUUGGCAAUUGAAAUAACCCUAGUAGUUGUAAUUGCUUAUGAAAAUUCGUCCAAAACUUUUAAAAAAUUAAAUAACUUAACCAUAUAACAAAAAAUUAAUGUAGAUAUAGAAGAGAUAGCCACAAAAGUUUCUUUUUGCCGUAGUUGCAGUAGUUUAAAUCUUCUGCCGUGCUUUACCAUCUGAGUUCACUAAAAAUGAGCAAACAAUAAAUCUGUAAAAAAGGAUUAGUACAUGCUUUUUAGCAUAUGAAUAUGAAGCAUAACUAUUUUUACAAAUAGUUGAACAUAACUUGUUUAAAAAAUUGUUGAGAGAUUACCGUCCAAACUUUCAGUAAACUCUAGUGAAAGUUUUGGAAUACUUCUUUAAAAACAACAUUCAUAGUUAUACGUUGUGGUACUCCUUUUGCGUCUGUAAUUAGCACAUUCAAUCCUGAAUUAGACUUAAGCCUUUACAUUGCCACAUAAAGCUGACCAUGAGAAAACAGGUCUUGGAAUAUAUAGAACAACAUAAGAUAGUGACUGUCUUUGGCUCUUGUUGAUAGUCAUUGCAAAAGCAACAGAUAUUGAGAAUUAUCUUCGUCGCGUUAGGAACGGUAGUCGAGUAUCUGAUGGUGCAAUCAACAUCCUUGGUAUUAAAAUCAAAUAUACUACUCGAGUACCUGUCAAAAUCCUAGCUUGCAAAACAUGAUAUGCCAUCUGAAUAAUUUGAAGUCUUGUCCCAUUCAUCAAACCUCCAUAAGGAUCAAUAUUUCUCAAAAGCAUUACAUGACAACCAAUUUUGAGACGAAGACUAUGUUUUGGCAAUCUUGAAGCCUUGAUACUGUUCAAGAAAUCAGGGGUGUAUACCGGGUUAUGCAUAGCACGUUUGUCAGACUGGUCAAUAGAAUCCGAACUAAGGUAAACCCUUUCUUCACCUGUUAUCAAAGGUAAUAGACAAUAAUAUUAAUUUUUUUUUACUUAUAAUGUAAAUAGGAUAAAUUAAAUUCAGAAGGUUGAAGGAGUUACUAACCACUAAGUUUUGACAACAUAUGGUCGUUGAUGGCAUUGACAUCAUCGUUGUAGGGCAUAAAAUUGCACUUUCUUGAAAGAAUUUUGGAUCAACCUCUAGAUGAAAUGAAUUCCCAUAAAUUGCCUGAAUGAUCGCUUCUAUUGGGUUACUAUCUUCAGUAAUAAGAAAUUCAUCUGGUAUCUAAAUUUCACAAACCCCAUCGUUAGGCUCAUUAAUUUUUAAUUCUCCUAUAGCAAGUAUUCAUUUGGAGAAGUCAUGUAUUUACGUGCCUCCGCUGAACCUAUGUUUUGGAGCAGUCUCAUAUUCUUAGUCAACCUCGGAACUUUGCAAUAAUCCCAUAUAUACGAAGCAUUGAGUGAAGCAUUGACAAUCUCUUCCCUCCCUGCCCGAACUAUCACAUGUAGAAUUUGCCGGAAAUCACCUCCAAAAAGGACAACUUUUCCUCCAAAAGGUUUUUCAUCGACUGGUCUUAUUAUGUCUUUUAAACUCUUAUCCAGCGAUUCAAAACAUUACUUGCUCAUCAUUGGAGUUCCAUCCCAUAUAAUCAGCUUUGCUUCCCUUACUAAUUGACCAAGGCCUGAUUCUCUUGACAUGUUACAUGUAGUAAACUCAGAAACACGUAAGGGAAUGCCAAACCUUGAGUGAGCUGUUCGUCCACCUGUCAACAAUAAAGAUGCAAUGCCACUUGAUGCAGUAUUUAGGAGAAUACCUCUUUUCAGUCUUAUUGUUGCAGACAGUAUUUCCCAUAAGAAUGUUUUCCUAGUACCUCCAAAGCCGUAUAAGAAAAAAACACCAGCUAAAUCAUGCUCCACAACAUAUAUAAUCUCAUUAUAUAUCUUUUUCUGUUCAGGGGUGAUCAUUUUCAACCAACGGCGAGAUCCUCUGCUAUUUUCUCCUGGUUAUAAUUUUUUUCAUCUAUAAUCAAUUGGAUGACCACCGGUACAUCAUCAAAUGAAAGCUGUGGCAGUACUUUAAAACUUUUUAGUGUGCUUCCAUUCCUUUUCAACAAUUUAUUUAACUCUAUGAGAGUAAAUUUUUCAGCUCUUCCUCAGAUAAUGUCAGUUCUGUAGAAGGUUAAAAUAAAUAUAUUUGAUGAGGAAAAGAAUGUUUUGUAACAUGUUUGUUUUAGUAAUCUAACAUAAUCUAUUAUUUUUUUCCUCAGUAUGUCUUCUACCAUCAUUUGCCAAGUUUCUUCCCAUACUUUUUCUGCACCACUUAAACUUCCUGAGAGAAGCAUGAUGACAAACAAUCUUCUAACAAAUUUGGCUGAACACAUGAAAUUUGCUUCUUUUAGACCAUUUUUCAGACAAUUGAUAUACGCUUUAUCAUCGUCUAACGACCCUAAAGCAAAACAUGCGUCCCUGUAUGUAGAAUGGCUGAUAUUGUUGACAGUUUUGAUGUUCUCAAAGCUUGUAGGACCUUUUACAGAGUUUAUCAAUAUCCUUAGAUGGUAUUCAUCCUCCAAAUUUCGUGGGACAUAAUUAAUUCUCCCAAUUGAAAAACAUGUUCUUCCUCUUCGUCUGAGUAUACCUUGCUUCUUAUCCCAGAUAUAAUCAUUUGGAAUCUACUCAUCAAUAAUUUCCUAGCAUCAAGAUCUCUUCAAUUCAAAUCAAACCAAGUCGUGAACAUUGUAUCAUCGAUCCAUGCCCUAUUCAAAACACCUUCUUUGAAAUAUACUGGUUGUUUGCCUUCUUCGUGGAAAGUUAAUUUCACAACAUGUGUUUGUCUGUAAUGGAUCAGAUAUUUGUUAAUCCUCCAUUAGACUUCGCAUGCAGACAUAUAUCUGAAGUUUUUAUUAACAUUGGUUAAUUUACAACAAUACACGUUUAUAUAAGAUUGUAUGAAAAACGAUAAUGAUCUUUUUAAAUAAAAAGAAGUACCUGCAAUCAAAAAAGUCUUGCACCUGGUUGACUGUAGGCAGAUCAUUACUUUGUACGUUAUCCUGUUGAUUAUUUUCAGCAUUAGUAUUUGUACCAGGCUCCACGGUCACUGUAACAUGAUCUUGGCCCUUGUGAACCUACUUGAAUAAGUACUUUACAUUUCCUAUUUGAUUGCACCACUCAACAUUGAUGUGUGCUCAAUAUUUCACAGAUAAUAGCCUGUUGUAUGGUUCAACAUAUAUGUUGUCGCAUUUGAAACGAUUCUUCUCUAUAAAACGACCAUUGUCUCUUCUUCUGUAAACUAGAUACCUUUCUUUAUCAAGAGUAGUGGUUUCGUUAUGUUGUUUUGAGAAAAACUUAGAACAUUUACCUUCUACCAUACAUGGAGAAUUAUAGUUGGCACUCCCACAUGGACCAUAAAUCAUGCAAUCUUUAGCGACUUCAUAAAGCUCUGGAUCCUCAUCUUUGUCGGGUAUUCCUGCACAAAUGAUUUUAUCUAUUUCAUCAGCUGUGGGAAACUUUAUGUUUUGGAUCCAUCCAAAACAAUAAUAUAAGCGUGUGGAAGCCCUCUUUUCUGGAAUUCAAUUGUAUAGGUAGCUGAAACAUGCUUUUGUAAGAGCAGUUAAUUUAUAACAAUUACUAUUGGUAUAUAAAUCUUCAUAACAUAACGCUAAAAAUUGAGUAUACGUAGGUUAAUAAAAUCACUGUUGUUGUGUUCCCCAAAAUGUGUUUCUUUGUCAAAUCAUACAUCAAAUUAUCUAGUUUCAUCUUGAGAAUCCUGCAAAUUACAUUCGGACGUUCUUCUGCUUUCAAAUUCAUCUUCUUCACAAAUCUCUGAAUUUCAGGCCAUUUGGGGUUACAUGUAAACAUAAUAACUUGAUCAGGGAAACCAAAGUGUUUACAUGUAGCUAUAGCAUCCAAAUAAUUUUGCCUCAUAUAGCUUGGUCCACCAGUAAACGAAGGAGGAAGAAUUAUGUUUUUUCCUUGAUUACUAAGGUCACUAUCUCCAACAGCUGAAGCAUUCUGAACAGCUUCUAUAUCAGUACUCCUUAGUUUUUUUUUGUUUUUAGUAAUGUACCUUAAUCAGUUAGCUUUGGUCAUUGUAUAAGCAUCCACCACAAACUGUUGGAGUAAUCGUUUUGAACGAAGUAGAGUGUGCUUCUCAUUAGACCUUUCUUGUAGUCGGUAAGCAAACCAUUUUCGCAUAUUGAUAUCUUUCUGUUUCCUACUCCUUGACGAUUUAAAUUUGGUAUUCUUAAUACCCAGUCUGUAAUCAUCCUCACCGUAUGGAAACAAAAGAGGAUACUUUAGCGCAAGAUAUAUAGUUGACAUUGCACUCAUGUAUUCGCUUCAAUUUUCUUGAUUGCUUCUCGAGUCUAAUGUCACGCUUAUCCAUUUUCUCAUGUAAAUCACCAGCAAUUAAAGCAGCCACUUCAGAAGCUGUAGGAAUGUUGUAGACUCUACCAUCCUUCUCUUGUGGAGAAACUAUCCUCAUAUGGAAAUUCGCUUCAUCCUUUUCUAGUUGAAACAUGUCUCUUGCAAAUCUAAAAUCUUGAACAUGUGGAUUGACUUCAUUCAACAGUUUCACCAGCUCUUCAACAAUCUCCUUUCUGAACUUUUUUUCUUCUUACCAGCUGAUAUAGCACUUGCCUAUACUAAAAUAUUAAUUGUACACAGUCAGCUACAACAAAGAACUAUUACAAAUUAUGUAUACAAAACAUAUGUUUUUUAAAAUACCUCAUUACCUAUAUACGGUUUUCCACUUCGUUCUCAGUAUCAACAAUGUAUAACUGUUGAAACUUUGGAUAAUAACCAGGUUUAGGUUUCAGAGAACCCAUAAAAUGGUAGUUUUCACCUUGUAGAGCAAACAUAGAAGGUCCAUGUCCUUGUUUAACCGAUCUGUCUACUCUCCCUCCUAUCGAUGUAAAUAAGAAUAUCAUGUUGUACGCUCUAAUAUUAUCUCUAAAAUGUUUAGCCAACAUAUUAUCUGACGUUAAAAGCCACCACAACAAUUUUGGUGAUUCACGUAGUAAUGGUAGCACUACUUGUCCUUGCAUACAACAUCUAGUGAAUACCAGAUUUUUUGUAUUUUUCCUUCUGUUAAGCCUCUCACCAUACAAAAAAAUAGCACCACAAUGCUUACAUGUGUAAUCAGGAUCUCAUCAUCAGCAUAAACUAAGAGAAAAGAUUAAGUCAUAAAACAGCAAAACAACUUGAGAAUACAAUCCUUAAUAAUUAGCGUAUAUGUCUUUGCUGUGAACAAAUUCAUACCAGUAGAUGAAUUGGUGGACUUUUGAGGUUCUCUUGUUGCAGAUUUUUGAACCUUUUCUAAAAUGUUUUGAAACAUCUUUAGAAAUUUAGCACGUUUUCUUGAAUUAUCAUAAGGUUCAAAUUAUUGGCCUUCGGUUUGAUCUGUUUGAUCAAGAGAAUCAUUGUCUGAUUCAUAUUCGAUUUCAUCUUGGCUACUACAAUCAAAUAUCUAGUCAUCAUAAUCUUCGGAGUCUGGAAGCAACAGAAAGCAAAAGUGGUAUAAGAUCAAAUAUGCAUGUCAGUAGUUUGUUAAGUAAUUUUUGUUUUCAAACAAAAUCAAAUAUGAAUUUGUGAAAUGGUACGAAAACUUAUACCCCUUUCAUCACCAUCUGCAUCAAACUGAUCUAACUCGUCAUCUUCAUAAUCAAGAUCUCUAAAUUUACUUAUAGUGUCAACUUCUGAAGAAGGAUACAUGGUAGAUACUUGAACCUUCCCUGUCAUUAACCAUCAAUAGUCAAUAUUGUAGUCAUAAUACCAGUCAAUUUUAAUCUAAAUUUUAGGUCGGGUAAAUAUCAUUGUUGACAUUUAGUAGAAUGAUUUCAAAAUCUUGAUCUUUUGCUUUGUUGUUCAGGAAUUGUAGAAUAGUUUGCAGUUAAUGUUUAGCUAAUAGAACUUCCAGAGCCAUCUGAUAUAUGGUGAAUUGAUUGAAUAAUCACCCCUGUUUUCACUCAAGGUGAUUGGUGAUAAGGUUGGAUUACAACCUUCAAUAACAAUUUAAUAUACAACUGAUGGAAGUUAAUCCAGUUUUUAGAAUCACAAAAUCUGAUAUAUAAUCCAAAUAAUAAGCUAUGUAACAAUGACGGGAAAAGUCCAUAAAAAUUCCCCAUCUAAUUUUAAUUUUUGGAAGUUUAAUACCCAAUGUUAUUUGGUUGUAAACAAAAUGCAUGAUUUAUUAAUUUGUUGUCUAUUAAUACAUCAAGUAUAUAAAAAUUGUCGAAUCGAAGAAACCGCUUAACAAACGGUUAUCGGAUUGACGGAAUCACUAAACCGGGGUUAAUGGAAUUACACUAAACUUAGGGUUUAUCGAUCCUAAUUCGAUUUGGGAUAAUAGCAAAGGACAAUGCAGUCUUUGGAUAACCCCAAAUUACCCGUGUGUUUAGGGAUUAGUAAUUUCGUCAACCUCGGUUUAGUGAUUCCGUCAAUCCGAUUAAACGGUUUAUUCGAUUCGACAAUUUUUAUAUACUUAAUGUAUUAAUAGACCAAAAUUUAAUAAACCAUGCAUUUUAUUUCCAAUCAAAUAACAUUGGGUAUUAAACUUCCAAAUUAAAAUUAGAUGGGGAAUUUUUAUGAAAUUUUCCCUAACAAUGACUGAAACUAAAUUGUAGAUGUUUCUUGCUCUUUUCUUUAUUUAUGAUAGUCGAAUACGAUGAUUGCCAAUUCUUUGCUUUCGCUUCACAGGUGUUGUGAAACGACAUAUAGUCGAACCUACAUUGUUGUCUAUAUUACUCCAUCUCACACUUGCGGCAAUGUAGUUUGAGUCACUUAUCCAUGAAUCCUUGAUUAAAUAUUAAAAAUACCAUUUGACAAGUUUGCUUCAAUAAGGCUUACCGGUAUGAUGGAUAACUUUCAGUGGAACCUUGGUUAUGUUGAAUAACAUUAGUAAUAUCAUUCAAAACACUACCAAAUACAGAUGAUCUGGGAACAAAACUCUUCGAAUUUGAUCCACAACUAUUAGAAUGUUUGUUCUCUGAAACUUGUGAAUAACGUUUUCGACUAAUGUUUUGUUUGUUGGAAACAUUUUGGUUGUAAUUGUUAUCAUCUUGUAUAUUGCUUUGCUUCAUGGUGGGUAAACCUAAUAGAGAUGGUAGGUUACGAAUAGGAAAAUAACCAUUGAUUUUUGUUUUAGUAGUAUGAACUAAACAUUUAUGAUUUAACUUGAUUUAGAAGAUCAGAAAAGUAUUUUGUUCUCUAAAUUUCGAUAUAUGAGGGAUUAUUGUACAAAAUCUAAACUAUAUUAUUUCCAUUUUCAUUCAACGAUUAAUCACAAAUAACAUAGAUUAGGAAGGUGUAGAAGAUAUUGAAUUAUUUGGGUUGAUUAUGUUAUUAAAAUGAUACGGGAUAGGACCAUAUUUUGAAUCGUUUUAUACUGUAUUUAGGCCCGUUUAUUAUAUACGUAAGUAGAAACAAUGGCCCAUUUAUUUUUGAUAUGUGAUUGUCUUAUAUGGACUUGUAGAGAUGUUAAUUUUUUUGUAAAAAUUCCAAAGCUUAAUUUUUAUGGAUUCGGCCCAUCAUUUUACAAACAUAUAAAAUUGCAAUCUUUAAAUAUCUAAAUUAAUAAUACAUUUCUUUACAUAUCCUAAUGAAUUUCCUAUUUACGAUUGAAAGUAAUAAAUAGAAAAUCUGAUUCAGAACAUGCUAUAAUUAAUAUAAUUCUUGAAACUAAUUUCAUUACAACAAAUUAAGCAAUGUUUAGAACAUCAGAUUUAAAAGCUGAAAUUGAGACAAUUUUUUCCCCAUGAAGUUAUGAAAUAAAGAUACAACAAAUCAAAAAAUGCUUCAACAGACCAGAUGUUCUAAGCUAUUGUUGCAUGGGUUGUGUCUUCUACUCUCUGGUUAGAGGAUGUGUUGAAAUGGUAGGUUCCAGCAAACUCAGAGCUACAAAAUUUAAAAUGUUACAUUGGUAAGAUUCUAUAUAAGAUAAGCAACUUAGUGACAAAAAUUGGCUAUGGACAGUAUGUAAGAAAUCACCUUGUUCUGUGGUUCAAGUACAUGAUUGGUUGGAUUCAUAGUUGUUCUUAAAGCUCUACCAUCAUGGUUAGCAUCAUUCGUAAUACAGGGCUUACCUAAAAUGUAACAUAAAGAAAGAAUCGAGUUCUAGUUCCUAAUCCGUGCUAUAGAAUCAUGUUCUAGUUCCUAAUCCGUGCUAUAAAAUCAUGUCUAAGUCAUACAUUCGUAUUUUUUUUUGCUGUGAAUCUUAAUAUUUUCCGAGCGUUUUCAGUCCUAGUGAAUUCCGAGUUUCACCGACGAUACCAUGGUAGGGAAAAAUAUAUUUUCAUACAUCAAGUAGAAAUAUAAAUGUGUUUCAUACAUCAAGCAUAAUAUGCCUUUAAUCUAUUACUCAACAAAACAUUAAAUUCAAAUUUAUUAUUCUUUUUUUCUUUCGAUAAAAAAUUAAAUUCAAGAAUUCUCACCUCUUCUUAAGCCAACAAUUCUCACCAAAAAUCAAUUAUUAUUAAAUUAUUGAUUUAUAAAAGUAAUUGAUAUUUAUUGUUACUGGAAUGCAAUCAAUAUUGGUAUUUGAUGGCCAAAAUUUGAUGUUUUAUGGUUUAAAUUCUUUAUCGGUUCUUACGGAAUUCGAAACCUUUUAACCAUUAUAUGUUCUUUUGGAAUCUAAAACCUUUUAACCAUCAAAUUUUCUUAUUUUUUUUAUCUAAAAGAUUAUUGAUAGUUCACUUAAUUAAAUACAAAUAUUCAAAUUCCAUGGUUUAAAUUAAAUUUGAUAACAAUAUAUAACAAUUUCUUAGAUUCACGUAAGAUUGACUCAUAAGGAAAAAAAAACUGAUUCAUACCUCAUGUAAAAAGGGCUAUUUCUUAAAGAUCCAAAUUUUCGAAUAGCCUUUUUCCAAAUCAUAUAUCUUUUCCCCACGCACUAAUAUACUAACUAUUAUUUCUCUAUUAUAAAAAGUAAAAAAAUAAUAUAAAAUAUAUCUAAAAGAUAUAUGAUAUACUAGUAAAAAAAAUUCCCUAUAGCUACUUGAAUUUUCUUAGAUAUAGUAAAAACAAUCUAUAUAGCCACGAAAUCCUAUAGUCAUGAAUAUUAAGGUUCACCCACAAAAAUUCAAGAUGCUAUAGGGAUUUUUUUUACUAGUAUAUUUACUAUAUAUAUAAUAUUUAAGAUCUUCAAACUUUUUGACUUCCAUACCCAAUGUAGGGCCGGACCAAAAAUAUGCACCCAAAACCCGAAUCUGAACCCAACCCAAAGUAAGUAGUUCAAAUCGGGUAUAUAUCAUCCAUAAUAUCUGAUCAUGUAUUUUUCUAUUACGCAUUGGGUAUCCGACCCUGAUUGGCUAUACCUAAACACCUAAAUGAGUACUCGAAUCAUCCAAAUUUAUGUAUCCUAAAUCAUAACUUCUUGGAUAUUUUUAUUAAUGAUUAGAAUAUAUAUUUUUUAGUUUGGUAUGUUGUUUACGAUUUUUUUUUUUAAAAAAUAAGAUUAAUAUAGAGGUUUUUUUCUUAAU
rnacentral:lncRNA from 1 species